UGGAGGCGGAGGGAGGGCGCGAGCUGCCCGGCCUGGAGGUGCGGAAGUUCGCCGCCGCUGUUCAUUGGCAGGCAGCGCCGCUUUCAUCAUUUCUCAGAAAAGUCAAUUUCAUUUUCACUUACCCACGUCGCGGCAGCGGGAGCAACAAGCAGCUGCGCCAUGCAGGGCUCUUAGUUCCCUGACCAGCAAUCGAACCUGUGCCCCCUGCAGUGGAAGCAUGGAGUCUUACCCACUGGACCGCCGGGGAAGUCCCUCUAGAUGGACAUCCUAGGACCGUCUACCUGGAUGCAUCAGAACUCAUUUCUUUUCAAGGGAGUCGAGAAAGGACUGGUUACUUGGCCAUGCAGCAAUUGACCUCUCCAUGAUUGAAGCUUAAAGAUACAUUCAAGAAAGUUUCAUCUCCACUACAUCCAAAAGGUGCACGUACACCUCUCGGCGCUGCCUCCUUCUCCUGGAUGCAACUCCAAGACAUUUCCUAGCCGUGCUCCUCAGGUAAGAACAUGGCAAGACCAACCCCUGCUCUCCUGGAGCUUACAUUCUAGUGGGGGUGAUGUCAACAGACAGACAAACAAACCAAGAAAAUAGUUAAAGAUUUGUAUCCGUGUUCUGAGGGAAACAAACACGACUUUGGAUAGAAAAUACUGGGGGAUCUAGGUGGUCAAGGAAGGUUUCUCAAGGAGAAAAUGACAUUUAAGCCAAAACUUGGAGGAGAGGAGACUGUAUUCGUUUCCUGGGGCUGCCAUAACACAGUACCACAAGCCAGGUGGCGGAAGUAACAGAAACGCAUUGCCUCCCAGUUCUGGAAGCUGGAAGUCCCAGAUCAAGGUGUCCACAGGGUUGGCUCCUUCUGAGGGUUAUGGGGGAAGGAUCUGUUCCUUGCCUCCUGGCUUCUGGUGUUGGCCAGCAAUCCUGGGCAUUCUUUGGCUGGUAGCAGCAUCACUCCAUCUCUCCCUUCAUCUUCACGUGGUGUUCUCCCUGGAUGUGUGUCUGUAUCCAAAUUUCCCCAUUUUACAGGGACACUAGUCUUAUUGGAUUAGGGGCCCACCAUACUCCAAUACGAUCUCAUCUUAAUUCAUUACAUCUGCAAAGACAAUCUGAGGUAUUGGGGGAUUAGGAUCUCACUAUAUGAAUUUUGAGGGGGACACACUUCAACACGUAACUGAUAUCAAUUGUGUGAUGAAGCCCCGAGCCAGGGGGAAGACUGAACACAAAGGCCAUGAAAAGCAAAAGGGUCUGGCAUAUUCUGGAAACCAAAAGAAGGUGAAUGUGACUUAAGAGUUCUGAAUGAGGGUAAGAAGGACACAGGCAGGUGGGCAGAGGCCAGAUCAAGGACUUUGGAUUUUAUUCUAAGAUCAAUGGCAAGAUUUUGAAGGGUUCUGUGGUUUUAAAAGGUCAUGCUAUAAAUUUCCCAACUGUCUCAACAUCAAUGAAAUGCAAGGAUUUCUUAAUUUGUGUAUUUCUCAGAAGAAUUUGUAACUGUUCUUGCACUGACCUCUCAGUUCAUUACAUGAUGAAUUUGUUGAGGAAACAAUGCAUUGGGGAUAUUUUGAAACAGUUUAAUUCUUUUUCAUUUCUUUUUGGCAUUCCUAAGGUAUUUCCUUCCCUUUAACUUUCUGUCUGAUUUUCAUCUCCACAAAUAAAUGAAGUAAAUUUUUACUUCAUUCUUUUUACCCUAUCCCCAUAAAAACUUCCCUUAAAAAAAAGGACGAUAUAUUCAACUGUGGAUUCCAGGCACGUGCUAUUUUCCUGUUUUGAGUGAAUGAUGAUAAUUUUCAGAGAUUGUGUCACCACAAAAUCAACAUUCAUUCCAAAAUUUAAUGGUUUCAAAUGUAUUUCUUUUUUUGAUUUCUAAAAAUUUUCAAAUUUCUUUUCCAUCAGAAACCCCUUGUGUGUAAUAAAUAGUUUCCACAAAACUGAAUUUUUGUUGGCAGAACAAUCGGCGUAAGUAAAACUUCACGAUUUGCCUUGGAUGUUUUGUAAUUUGAAAGCAAAUGUUGGUUUAAACAGCCCACCAUAUAUUUUGUCAAUGUCCAGCUGUGGAUGCUGGGUUUUUAGCACCACUUCUUUCCGGACAGCCAAAAAAAAAAAAAUAUCACUUUCUUUCCUGUUUUACAUAUUGAGGUUCUGCAUAAGAUUUCAUUUGGGGAAAAGGUUCUGUCGCUUUAUAAAAAACAUGGAAAAAAGAUCAAAGCCACCAAUACUACUGGCAGUUUGUUUUGCUUCAUUUUCCUAUAACUGGAGAUAUGAAAGAAAACACGACAAACCAUAAGUGAAGAACCUUAAGACUGAAGGAGAGAAAGAAAUACGCAGACCCAGGAACAGACGCCCGAGGGAGGGUUGAUGGGGGACCAGGAUGUAUUAUAAAGAACGAAGAUCGAGAUGAAAAGAAAGGUUCCUAUUUUGAUCUCCUUUUUGCAAAGACAACAGUGGACACCCCCAAAAAAGUUUUAAUUCGAAAGGAUAAAGGUGUAGAUAUGAAGCUGUUAAUAAUGGUCACCUUAAGGACAGUUAAGGAUCUGGAAAUGAGAUCAUUCUGGACCAUCCUGGUGGGCCCUCAAUCCAAAGACAAGUGUCCUUAUAAAAGAAGAGAAGAAGACACACCCACAGAGGACAAAUCCACGUGAGGACAAAGGCGAGACUACAGGGAUGCAGCUGCAAAAGCCAAGGAAUGCUCGGAACCACGGGAAACUGGAAGAGGCGAGGAAGGAUUCUCCCCAGAGCCGUCCUGGGCCAAGAACUACGGUCGGCUUUCUAGUUCCUGUUCUCUCUUCCUAGAACGUUCUUCUCCAGCUCUUUGCAUGGCUGCUUUGUUCCAUGAGGUCUCACUUAACAUGGGCAAAACCAGCAGAAGGUCAUACACUAUCAGACCGCAUCUCUUACCUACAAGAGGAUCCCUGGCUAGAGAGGUUGGAUUGAAGGUUCCUUCUUUCCUUUCUGGCAGCAGCGAGGAAAGGAGAAGCUUUCUGGAGGCCAGGCUCCGAAGCGCACUGAGCUGGUGAUCCCUCCUGCAGUCGGUGUGAAUGGACGCUCCUAACCUGCAAAGUAGAGCCUACGGAGCUGCAGGAAGGGAGGGUGAGCUCCAUCUCCCAGGCUCCAGGGAACAGAGGAGCCUUCAGAGACCCUCCCCGGCCCUGUCAGACGAUAGCCAGCGAAGCGGUGGGCACUGCCCAGAACUCUUGGCGUACUGUGUGAACAAGGGAAGGAGGGUGAGGUGUUCUUGCAUCACAGUGCCCUGGUCCACAGGAGAAGUCAGUCGCCCUGUGGAUAAAAAGGAACCUAGGGGCAGGACAGGAAUAAAGACGCAGACGUACAGAAUGGACUUGAGGGCACGGGGAGGGGGAGGGGUCAGCUGGGACAAAGUGAGAGAGUGGCAUGGACAUAUAUACACUACCAAAUGUAAAAUAGAUAGCUGGUGGGAAGCAGCCGCAUAGCACAGGGAGAUCAGCUUGGUGCUUUGUGACCACC